rnacentral:tRNA from 1 species
GCCGAGGUGGCGGAAUCGGAAGACGCGCCGGACUCAAAAUCCGGUGGGGUAACACCCGUGUGGGUUCAAGUCCCACCCUCGGUACCA